CCGAAGGGGUAGGCGUACAGAGGACUGGGGAACCUUCAAGCUGCCGUCGCUGACUUGAGUAAAGCCCAUGAAAUCUCUCCAGAAGAUGAAACCAUUGCUGAGGUCCUGAGAGAGACAGAGGGAGAACUUGCAGCUGAAGGAAAUCUGCCAAAAGGAAUUGUUAUUGAAGAGGCUGUAGAAGAACUUCCAAAAGGAGUUGUUAUUGAAGAGAUUGUAGAAGAACUUCCAACCUUCCAGCCUCCGUCUUUGCAAAAUGUUGCGGAGAACCAUGAUGAAAUAGUAGUUAACAACCAGUCGCCAUCCAGUUCUAUAGCUGAUAUGCAAGAAGCCGUGAGAAAAUCCAUGGAAGACCAGGCUAUGCGGCAGAUGUUCGUGUCCAUGAUGGAGAACAUGAGUCCUGAUGUGAUGG
rnacentral:lncRNA from 1 species